UUUUUUUAUUAGUCCACAAAACUGACUACAAUCGUUUAAUAUAGACAUAUAAAGUAAAGGACAAAGUGUAAAUUUCUCGUUUUUUUUUCAAAAUAAAAUC